rnacentral:rRNA from 1 species
UACGAAGGGGGCUAGCGUUGCUCGGAAUCACUGGGCGUAAAGGGUGCGUAGGCGGGUCUUUUAAGUCAGGGGUGAAAUCCUGGAGCUCAACUCCAGAACUGCCUUUGAUACUGAAGAUCUUGAGUUCGGGAGAGGUGAGUGGAACUGCGAGUGUAGAGGUGAAAUUCGUAGAUAUUCGCAAGAACACCAGUGGCGAAGGCGGCUCACUGGCCCGAUACUGACGCUGAGGCACAAAAGCGUGGGGAGCAAACAGGG